rnacentral:rRNA from 1 species
CACGUAGGGCGCAAGCGUUGUCCGGAAUUAUUGGGCGUAAAGAGCUCGUAGGCGGUCUGUUGCGUCUGCUGUGAAAACCCGGGGCUUAACCCCUGGCUUGCAGUGGAUACGGACAGACUAGAGGUAGGUAGGGGAGAAUGGAAUUCCCGGUGUAGCGGUGAAAUGCGCAGAUAUCAGGAGGAACACCGGUGGCGAAGGCGGAUCUCUGGGCCUUACCUGACGCUGAGGAGCGAAAGCAUGGGGAGCAAACAGG